rnacentral:rRNA from 1 species
GAUGAACGCUGGCGGCGUGCCUAAUACAUGCAAGUCGAGCGAACGGACGAGACGCUUGCUUCUCUGAUGUUAGCGGCGGACGGGUGAGUAACACGUGGAUAACCUACCUAUAAGACUGGGAUAACUUCGGGAAACCGGAGCUAAUACCGGAUAAUAUUUUGAACCGCAUGGUUCAAAAGAGAAAUACGGUCUUGCUGUCACUAAUAGAUGGAUCCGCGCUGCAUUAGCUAGUUGGUAAGGUAACGGCUUACCAAGGCAACGAUGCAUAGCCGACCUGAGAGGGUGAUCGGCCACACGGGAACUGAGACACGGUCCAGACUCCUACGGGAGGCAGCAGUAGGGAAUCUUCCGCAAUGGGCGAAAGCCUGACGGAGCAACGCCGCGUGAGUGAUGAAGGUCUUCGGAUCGUAAAACUCUGUUAUUAGGGAAGAACAUAUGUGUAAGUAACUGUGCACAUCUUGACGGUACCUAAUCAGAAAGCCACGGCUAACUACGUG